rnacentral:lncRNA from 10 species
CUAACGAGCAAAAUAACCAGCUAACAUCAUAAUGACAGGAUCAAAUUCACACAUAACAAUACUAACCUUAAAUGUAAAUGGGCUAAAUGCUCCAAUUAAAAGACACAGACUGGCAAAUUGGAUAAAGAGUCAAGACCCAUCAGUGUGAUGUAUUCAGGAAACCCAUCUCACAUGCAGAGACACACGUAGGCUCACAAUAAAGGGAUGGAGGAAGGUCUACUAAGCAAAUGGAAAACAAAAAAAAGGCAGGGGUUGCAAUCCUAGUCUCAGAUAAAACAGACUUUAAACCAACAAAAUCAAAAGAGACAAAGAAGGCCAUUACAUAAUGGUAAAGGGAUCAAUUCAACAGGAA